GAUGAACGCUGGCGGCGUGCUUAACACAUGCAAGUCGAACGGAAAGGCUCCUGCUUGCCGGGGUUCUCGAGUGGCGAACGGGUGAGUAACACGUGGGUGAUCUGCCCUGCACUUCGGGAUAAGCCUUGGAAACUGGGUCUAAUACCGGAUAGGACGAUGGUUUGGAUGCCAUUGUGGAAAGUUUUUCGGUGUGGGAUGAGCUCGCGGCCUAUCAGCUUGUUGGUGGGGUAAUGGCCUACCAAGGCGUCGACGGGUAGCCGGCCUGAGAGGGUGUACGGCCACAUUGGGACUGAGAUACGGCCCAGACUCAUACGGGAGGCAGCAGUGGGGAAUAUUGCAAAAUGGGCGGAAGCAUGAUGCAGCGACGCCGCGUGGGGGAUGACGGCCUUCGGGUUGUAAACUCCUUUCGCUAGGGACGAAGCGCAAGUGACGGUACCUGGAGAAGAAGCACCGGCUAACUACGU
rnacentral:rRNA from 1 species